rnacentral:rRNA from 1 species
AUGCUGGCGGCAGGCCUAACACAUGCAAGCUGAGCGGUAGCACAGGAGAGCUUGCUCUCUGGGUGACGAGCGGCGGACGGGUGAGUAAUGUCUGGGAAACUGCCUGAUGGAGGGGGAUAACUACUGGAAACGGUAGCUAAUACCGCAUGACCUCGCAAGAGCAAAGUGGGGGACCUUCGGGCCUCACGCCAUCGGAUGUGCCCAGAUGGGAUUAGCUAGUAGGUGGGGUAAUGGCUCACCUAGGCGACGAUCCCUAGCUGGUCUGAGAGGAUGACCAGCCACACUGGAACUGAGACACGGUCCAGACUCCUACGGGAGGCAGCAGUGGGGAAUAUUGCACAAUGGGCGCAAGCCUGAUGCAGCCAUGCCGCGUGUGUGAAGAAGGCCUUAGGGUUGUAAAGCACUUUCAGCGAGGAGGAAGGCGUUGUAGUUAAUAGCUGCAACGAUUGACGUUACUCGCAGAAGAAGCACCGGCUAACUCCGUGCCAGCAGCCGCGGUAAUACGGAGGGUGCAAGCGUUAAUCGGAAUUACUGGGCGUAAAGCGCGCGUAGGUGGUUUGUUAAGUUGGAUGUGAAAUCCCCGGGCUCAACCUGGGAACUGCAUUCAAAACUGACUGACUAGAGUAUGGUAGAGGGUGGUGGAAUUUCCUGUGUAGCGGUGAAAUGCGUAGAUAUAGGAAGGAACACCAGUGGCGAAGGCGACCACCUGGACUAAUACUGACACUGAGGUGCGAAAGCGUGGGGAGCAAAC